rnacentral:rRNA from 1 species
UACGAAGGGGGCUAGCGUUGCUCGGAAUCACUGGGCGUAAAGCGCACGUAGGCGGAUUGCUAAGUCAGGGGUGAAAUCCUGGAGCUCAACUCCAGAACUGCCUUUGAUACUGGGGAGCUUGAGUCCGGAAGAGGUGAGUGGAACUCCGAGUGUAGAGGUGAAAUUCGUAGAUAUUCGGAAGAACACCAGUGGCGAAGGCGGCUCACUGGUCCGGUACUGACGCUGAGGUGCGAAAGCGUGGGGAGCAAACAGG